rnacentral:snRNA from 1 species
GUACUAGCUACGGUGGUACAUAUUCUAAAGUUGGAACGAUACAGAGAAGAUUAACAUGGUUCCUGUGCAAGGAUGACACGCAAAUUCGUGAAGCGUUCCAUAUUCUG